GGGGGCGACUGGUUUCGACAAGGUAGGUCUGAGAUGAGCAGCAGGCCGUGGUCUCCUCGCCACGUUAAACAGGGGUGCCGUCAAAUGAAUUGACGAGACUUCUUAUCAGGGCUAUGCCCUCGCCGCUUAGUUAAAAGCAGGCGCGUCCAACCGGGGACUCUCCCGACCCCGGGGCGACGUCAUCUUAGGGAGAUGCUCCGAGGGACGUAGUCGGUAUGCCCGAGGCUAAGAUCGAACCGACUGGGACGUGCGGCGCUUGUCGCUGGGCACCGAGCGUCCGAGACCUAACCAGCGACUGAGCCUGGAGAUACUCGUCAGGGAGCUGCUUUGGACCGGAGUUCGAUCCUCCGCGCCUCCACCA
rnacentral:tmRNA from 1 species